rnacentral:rRNA from 1 species
UGAGUGCGAGCGGCUACGGCCGCGAAGUGGGUGAUGUCAAGCUUCCAAGAAAAGCCCUAUACCCGUUAAGGCAUGAUGGCCUGUACCCGAAACCGACACAGGUGGGGUGGUAGAGAAUACCGAGGGGAGCGAGGUAACUCUCUCUAAGGAACUCGGCAAAAUGGCCCCGUAACUUCGGGAGAAGGGGUGCCACCGCAAGGUGGUCGCAGUGAAGAGGCCCAGGCGACUGUUUACCAAAAACACAGGUCUCCGCUAAGUCGCAAGACGACGUAUGGGGGCUGACGCCUGCCCAGUGCCGGAAGGUUAAGGAAGCUGGUCAGCGCAAGCGAAGCUGGCGACUGAAGCCCCGGUGAACGGCGGCCGUAACUAUAACGGUCCUAAGGUAGCGAAAUUCCUUGUCGGGUAAGUUCCGACCCGCACGAAAGGCGUAACGAUCUGGGCGCUGUCUCGGAGAGAGGCUCGGCGAAAUAGAAUUGUCUGUGAAGAUGCGGACUACGUGCACCCGGACAGAAAGACCCUAUGAAGCUUUACUGUAGCUUGGUAUUGUGCCCGGGCUCUGAAUGCGCAGGAUAGGUGGGAGGCUUUGAUCCAUGGCUUGCGGGUCAUGGUGAGCCAACGGUGAGAUACCACUCUUUCAGAGCUAGGGUUCUAACGGUCACCCGUCAUCCGGGGACCGGACAGUAUCAGGUGGGCAGUUUGACUGGGGCGGUCGCCUCCUAAAAGGUAACGGAGGCGCGCAAAGGUUUGCUCAGGCUGGUUGGAAAUCAGCCGACGAGUGCAAAAGCAGAAGCAAGCUUGACUGUGAGACCUACAAGUCGAACAGGGACGAAAGUCGGCUUUAGUGAUCCGACGGUUCUGAGUGGAAGGGCCGUCGCUCAACGGAUAAAAGUUACUCUAAGGAUAACAGGCUGAUCUCCCCCAAGAGUUCACAUCGACGGGGAGGUUUGGCACCUCGAUGUCGGCUCAUCGCAACCUGGGGCUGAAGUCGGUCCCAAGGGUUGGGCUGUUCGCCCAUUAAAGCGGUACGCGAGCUGGGUUCAGAACGUCGUGAGACAGUUCGGUCCAUAUCCGGUGCACGCGCAGGAACAUUGAGAGGAUUUCUCCCUAGUACGAGAGGACCGGGAGGAACGCACCUCUGGUGUGCCAGUUAUCGUGCCAACGGUAAACGCUGGGUAGCCAUGUGCGGAGUGGAUAACCGCUGAAAGCAUCUAAGUGGGAAGCCCACCUCAAGAUGAGUGUUCCCAUGGCAUAAGCCAGUAAGGUCACGGGAAGAACACCCGUUGAUAGGCUCUACGUGGAAGCCGGGUAACCGGUGAAGCGGAGGAGUACUAAUAGACCGAGGGCUUGACC